UUUAACAAUGCCACGCAGACGCAGACACGCUGUUCGCCCCGUUGGUAGACGUAGGAGGACUCGCAGGUCCUCCCAUGUCCACAGACAGAGGAGAGUUGUCCGACGCAGACGCUAGGCAACGCUAAUAAACAUAGAUCUGAGGAGCAUCGGUUAGGGAAAGAU